UAAUCAAUAUUACGUGACCUGAGUUUUCUGUUUUAACGAUUAUAAUUUUAUGAAGUAAAUCAUUCCACUCUUCAUCUGAACUAGUUUACGGAGCACGGUUGCGACGCGUCAAGUGAUAUCUAAUUGCCGUGAAAGACAUUUCGAUCACAUUUGAACUUGAUUUGUUUAAAAUCUUCACGUCUUUCUUAAUGUAAAUGAAGUGAGCUUGAAAUUAUUGAAACCUAUUGUUAAGGCUCACGAAACCUCCUUAAAACUUUUACUGUAUUUUUUAAACCUCGCCCUUUAUAAUUUUUACAUGAACCCCCAAAACGCUCCAUAAUUCAUUCCAUUUCUGAUUACGACAAUUACGUUCGCAAGCAAGUAAAACGGGGAAAACAGCGGUCGUGAACGUGUUCUUGAGCGGUUAGUGGAACGCACGGCCUGUAUUACUUCAAAUUACGUCGACAAAUCCAGCAUCGAGCGGAGCGCGCCACCAGCAAUUCACAAUCCGCAAUUUGCCAAAUUUGGCAUUCAUCUGCUUCAGCAAUUGUCAAAGAUAUAACUUUGAAGUGUAUAGCUAUGAUAAAAUAAAUUAAUUUCGCUGUUUUCGUCUUAUAUUAUUUAAUAAUUUUUAUUUUCAACACUGUGUGUAUUACGGGUAGUUUAAAUAUUUGUGUUUGAUAAGUCCACAUCGGCAUGGAUAAACUCAACAUCUUUUCCAAGGCUUACUGUCAAGAGGUGGAAAAUUUGGGUGCUGUGGUUGACGAAAGGUUCCACCAAGACAUACUGACAAUGGAGCAACUUUACCAAGGCAGAUAGGAUGCAGUAAUGAUGGGGAUUAUUGUUAGUUCCUUAUGAGGAAAAACGAUGAAACAUAUAAACAAAAGUCAACAUUUGCAAAAUGGUUAUGCACAAAAGACUUCAUUUGAAUGUUUUUUCAUGUGUACCUAUUGUGAAUAAAGUAUGUUAUCCUCAUAA